rnacentral:rRNA from 1 species
GCAGUCGAACGCUUCUUUCCUCCCGAGUGCUUGCACUCAAUUGGAAAGAGGAGUGGCGGACGGGUGAGUAACACGUGGGUAACCUACCCAUCAGAGGGGGAUAACACUUGGAAACAGGUGCUAAUACCGCAUAACAGUUUAUGCCGCAUGGCAUAAGAGUGAAAGGCGCUUUCGGGUGUCGCUGAUGGAUGGACCCGCGGUGCAUUAGCUAGUUGGUGAGGUAACGGCUCACCAAGGCCACGAUGCAUAGCCGACCUGAGAGGGUGAUCGGCCACACUGGGACUGAGACACGGCCCAGACUCCUACGGGAGGCAGCAGUAGGGAAUCUUCGGCAAUGGACGAAAGUCUGACCGAGCAACGCCGCGUGAGUGAAGAAGGUUUUCGGAUCGUAAAACUCUGUUGUUAGAGAAGAACAAGGACGUUAGUAACUGAACGUCCCCUGACGGUAUCUAACCAGAAAGCCACGGCUAACUACGUGCCAGCAGCCGCGGUAAUACGUAGGUGGCAAGCGUUGUCCGGAUUUAUUGGGCGUAAAGCGAGCGCAGGCGGUUUCUUAAGUCUGAUGUGAAAGCCCCCGGCUCAACCGGGGAGGGUCAUUGGAAACUGGGAGACUUGAGUGCAGAAGAGGAGAGUGGAAUUCCAUGUGUAGCGGUGAAAUGCGUAGAUAUAUGGAGGAACACCAGUGGCGAAGGCGGCUCUCUGGUCUGUAACUGACGCUGAGGCUCGAAAGCGUGGGGGAGCAAACAGGAUUAGAUACCCUGGUAGUCCACGCCGUAAACGAUGAGUGCUAAGUGUUGGAGGGUUUCCGCCCUUCAGUGCUGCAGCAAACGCAUUAAGCACUCCGCCUGGGGAGUACGACCGCAAGGUUGAAACUCAAGGAAUUGACGGGGGCCCGCACAAGCGGUG